rnacentral:lncRNA from 1 species
CCUUUGCUUGGCUGGUGGCUACAAUACACUUCUGUUAAUGACGGAAUUCCAUAACAUUUUUCCCCAUUAAUUUCUGCUACAAAACACAAAAGUCUUAGCCAGGUGUGGUGGUGCACACCUGUUGUCCCAGCUACUCAGGAGUCUGAGGUGAGAGGAUCGCUGAGCCUGGGAGGCAGAGGUUACAGUGAGCCAAGAUGGCGCCGUUGUACUCCAACCUGGGUGACAGAGGGAGACCCUGUCUCAAAAACAAAAAACAAAACAAAACAAAACAAAAACCAAAUACACACACACACACACACACAUACACACACACACAUAAAAGUCUCAUAUUUUACACUUAUGAAGUUAGGUGGGUUUUUUUUGUUUGUUUCUUUGUUUUGUUUUGUUUUGUUUUGUACCCAAAAGUACAUAACCUAC